UCCCCUGUGGCUCAGACGGUAAAGAAUCCACCUGCAAUGUGGGAGACCUGGGUUUGAACCCUGGGUGGGGAA
rnacentral:tRNA from 1 species